rnacentral:rRNA from 1 species
AUUGAACGCUGGCGGAAUGCUUUACACAUGCAAGUCGAACGGCAGCACGGGGGCAACCCUGGUGGCGAGUGGCGAACGGGUGAGUAAUACAUCGGAACGUGCCCAAUCGUGGGGGAUAACUACGCGAAAGCGUAGCUAAUACCGCAUACGAUCUACGGAUGAAAGCGGGGGAUCGCAAGACCUCGCGCGAAUGGAGCGGCCGAUGGCAGAUUAGGUAGUUGGUGGGGAAAGGCUCACCAAGCCGUCGAUCUGUAGCUGGUCUGAGAGGACGACCAGCCACACUGGGACUGAGACACGGCCCAGACUCCUACGGGAGCAGCAGUGGGGAAUUUGGACAAUGGGCGCAAGCCUGAUCCAGCCAUUCCGCGUGCAGGAUGAAGGCCCUCGGGUUGUAAACUG